rnacentral:rRNA from 1 species
CAGCAGCCGCGGUAAUGCGUAGGUGGCAAGCGUUGUCCGGAAUUAUUGGGCGUAAAGGGCUCGCAGGCGGUUUCUUAAGUCUGAUGUGAAAGCCCCCGGCUCAACCGGGGAGGGUCAUUGGUAACUGGGAAACUUGAGUGCAGAAGAGGAGAGUGGAAUUCCACGUGUAGCGGUGAAAUGCGUAGAGAUGUGGAGGAACACCAGUGGCGAAGGCGACUCUCUGGUCUGUAACUGACGCUGAGGAGCGAAAGCGUGGGGAGCGAACAGGAUUAGAUACCCCAGUAGUCCCUGUCUCUUAUAA